AGAGUUUGAUCCUGGCUCAGAACGAACGCUGGCGGCAGGCCUAAUACAUGCAAGUCGAGCGCAUCCUUCGGGAUGAGCGGCGGACGGGUGAGUAACGCGUGGGAAUAUGCCCUUCUCUAAGGAAUAGCCUCGGGAAACUGAGAGUAAUACCUUAUACGCCCUUCGGGGGAAAGAUUUAUCGGAGAAGGAUUAGCCCGCGUUAGAUUAGGUAGUUGGUGGGGUAAUGGCCUACCAAGCCUACGAUCUAUAGCUGGUUUGAGAGGAUGAUCAGCCACACUGGGACUGAGACACGGCCCAGACUCCUACGGGAGGCAGCAGUAGGGAAUCUUAGACAAUGGGGGAAACCCUGAUCUAGCCAUGCCGCGUGUGUGAUGAAGGCCUUAGGGUCGUAAAGCACUUUCGCCAGAGAUGAUAAUGACAGUAUCUGGUAAAGAAACCCCGGCUAACUCCGUGCCAGCAGCCGCGGUAAUACGGAGGGGGUUAGCGUUGUUCGGAAUUACUGGGCGUAAAGCGCACGUAGGCGGAUUAGUAAGUUAGAGGUGAAAUCCCAGGGCUCAACCCUGGAACUGCCUUUAAUACUGCUAGUCUUGAGUUCGAGAGAGGUAAGUGGAAUUCCGAGUGUAGAGGUGAAAUUCGUAGAUAUUCGGAGGAACACCAGUGGCGAAGGCGGCUUACUGGCUCGAUACUGACGCUGAGGUGCGAAAGUGUGGGGAGCAAACAGGAUUAGAUACCCUGGUAGUCCACACCGUAAACGAUGAAUGCCAGACGUCAGCCAGUAUACU
rnacentral:rRNA from 1 species